AGACUGGUUUCACUUUGUGGAUGAAAAGGGAAUGCGGUGCGAAUCCGCAGCAGCUCACUCUACUGUAAGAAAUGACGAAACCUGCGGACCACUGUUGUGAGAAUGACAACGGGAAGGGCGGGGAUUAGGUUUUAGUUUUAAGUCAGGAUACCUGCCAGUAAUCA
rnacentral:ncRNA from 1 species